GUUUGAUCAUGAAAACAGAUUGAACGCUGGCGGGAUAACUACACAUGCAAGUCGAACAGCAGCACGGACUUCGGUCUGGUGGCGAGUGGCGAACGGGUGAGUAAUGUAUCGGAACGUGCCUAGUAGCGGGGGAUAACUACGCGAAAGCGUAGCUAAUACCGCAUACGCCCUUCGGGGAAAGCGGGGGACCUUCGGGCCUCGCGCACUAUUGAAGCGGCCGAUAUCGGAUUAGCUAGUUGGUGGGGUAACGGCUCACCAAAGGCGACGUCCGUAGCUGGUUUGAGAGGACGACCAGCCACACUGGGACUGAGACACGGCCCAGACUCCUACGAGGCAGCAGUGAGGGAAUUUUGGACAAUGGGGGAAACCCUGAUCCAGCCAUCCCGCGUGUGCGAUGAAGGCCUUCGGGUUGUAAAACACUUUUGGCAGGAAAGAAACGGCACGGGAUAAUACCCCGUGCAACUGACGGCAUACCUGCAGAAUAAGCACCGGCUUUAACUACGUCGCCAGCAGCCGCGGUAAUACGUAAGUGCAAGCGUUAAUCGGAAUUACUGGGCGUAAAGCGUGCGCAGGCGGUUCCGGAAAGAAAGAUGUGAAAUCCCAGAGCUUAACUUUGGAACUGCAUUUUUAACUACCGAGCUAGAGUGUGUCAGAGGGAGGUGGAAUUCCGCGUGUAGCAGUGAAAUGCUGUGAAUAUGCGGAGAAAUUUCGAUGGCGAGAGAACACAGCCUCCACCGGUUCUUGGCGCUCAUGCACAGCGUGGGGAACCGAGCGGAUUAAACCCUGGUAGUCCGCACUCAACGGUGUUAGCUGUUGGGGCCUUCGGGCCUUAAUGAAACCUUGUUUGCGUGAAAUUCGACACCACCGGAGAGUGAUGUAAGAAUUCGGAAACUCAAAGUGGCGGGAUUACAAGCGGUGGGCGUUGAUGGAUUCGAUGUUGGCACUUGAAAAACGCCACCCGCCUGCAAUAUUCGGUCCGAAGAUUUGGGAGUGCUCUGUAAACGGAACACAGAGUGCUUCCGUGGCUUAUCGUCAGCUCGUGUCGUGGAUGUUGGAUAAGUCUACGCAACGACGCAAACAUACAUCGUCGUUGCUGCAAGGCGCUCGCGGAACUGCCGGUGACAAACCGGAGAAGGUAAGGAUGGCGUCAGAUAUAUGGCCCAUAUGGGCAGGCUGCACACACAUGUCCCAAUAUUGGUCGGGACGACUGGAGGUCGCCAACGCCAUAGAGGUAAUCCGAAGCCCGAUCUCAACAGUCCGGAUCGCGAUGCCAACUCGACCGUGAAGUCGAAUCGCUGGUAAUCGUGAUCAGCAUAUCGCGGUGAAUGCGUUGGGUCUUGUACCUGCCUUGUCACACAACAGGUGGUUUACCAGAAGCAGUUAAUAACGACGUAAGGAGGGCGAUGCUGCAGUAGGAUUCAUGGUGGGGUGAAAUCAUGGCUGAAGGUAA
rnacentral:rRNA from 1 species